rnacentral:rRNA from 1 species
AACGAACGCUGGCGGCAUGCCUAACACAUGCAAGUCGAACGAGACCUUCGGGUCUAGUGGCGCACGGGUGCGUAACGCGUGGGAACCUGCCCUUAGGUUCGGAAUAACUCCCCGAAAGGGGUGCUAAUACCGGAUAAUGUCUUCGGACCAAAGAUUUAUCGCCUUUGGAUGGGCCCGCGUUGGAUUAGCUAGUUGGUAGGGUAAAAGCCUACCAAGGCGACGAUCCAUAGCUGGUCUGAGAGGAUGAUCAGCCACACUGGGACUGAGACACGGCCCAGACCCCUACGGGAGGCAGCAGUGGGGAAUAUUGGACAAUGGGCGAAAGCCUGAUCCGGCAAUGCCGCGUGAGUGAUGAAGGCCUUAGGGUUGUAAAGCUCUUUUACCCGGGAUGAUAAUGACAGUACCGGGAGAAUAAGCUCCGGCUAACUCCGUG